GAUGAACGCUGGCGGCGUGCCUAAUACAUGCAAGUCGAGCGAACGGACGAGAAGCUUGCUUCUCUGAUGUUAGCGGCGGACGGGUGAGUAACACGUGGAUAACCUACCUAUAAGACUGGGAUAACUUCGGGAAACCGUAGCUAAUUCCGGAUAAUAUUUUGAACCGCAUGGUUCAAAAGUGAAAGACGGUCUUGCUGUCACUUAUAGAUGGAUCCGCGCUGCAUUAGCUAGUUGGUAAGGUAACGGCUUACCAAGGCAACGAUGCAUAGCCGACCUGAGAGGGUGAUCGGCCACACUGGAACUGAGACACGGUCCAGACUCCUACGGGAGGCAGCAGUAGGGAAUCUUCCGCAAAGGGCGAAAGCCUGACGGAGCAACGCCGCGUGAGUGAUGAAGGUCUUCGGAUCGUAAAACUCUGUUAUUAGGGAAGAACAUAUGUGUAAGUAACUGUGCACAUCUUGACGGUACCUAAUCAGAAAGCCACGGCUAACUACGUG
rnacentral:rRNA from 1 species